rnacentral:rRNA from 1 species
UAGGGAAUCUUCGGCAAUGGACGAAAGUCUGACCGAGCAACGCCGCGUGAGUGAAGAAGGUUUUCGGAUCGUAAAACUCCGUUGUUAGAGAAGAACAAGGACGUUAGUAACUGAACGUCCCCUGACGGUAUCUAACCAGAAAGCCACGGCUAACUACGUGCCAGCAGCCGCGGUAAUACGUAGGUGGCAAGCGUUGUCCUGAUUUAUUGGGCGUAAAGCGAGCGCAGGCGGUUUCUUAAGUCUGAUGUGAAAGCCCCCGGCUCAACCGGGGAGGGUCAUUGGAAACUGGGAGACUUGAGUGCAGAAGAGGAGAGUGGAAUUCCAGGUGUAGCGGUGAAAUGCGUAGAUAUAUGGAGGAACACCAGUGGCGAAGGCGGCUCUCUGGUCUGUAACUGACGCUGAGGCUCGAAAGCGUGGGGAGCAAACAGG